rnacentral:rRNA from 1 species
GACGAACGCUGGCGGCGUGCUUAACACAUGCAAGUCGAGCGGGGAACUGUGGAAUGAAGCUUCGGCAGAAUGAAACAGUUUCUAGCAGCGGACGGGUGAGUAACGCGUGAGCAAUCUGUCCCAGACAGGGGGAUAACAGAUGGAAACAUCUGCUAAUACCGCAUAAGACCACGAGGUCGCAUGGCCUUUAGGUAAAAGAUUUAUCGGUUUGGGGGGAGCUCGAGUCUGAUUAGCUAGUUGGUGAGGUAACGGCCCACCAAGGCGACGAUCAGUAGCCGACCUGAGAGGGUGAUCGGCCACAUUGGAACUGGGACACGGUCCAGACUCCUACGGGAGGCAGCAGUGGGGAAUAUUGGGCAAUGGGCGCAAGCCUGACCCAGCAACGCCGCGUGAAGGAAGAAGGUUUUCGGAUUGUAAACUUCUGUCCUUGGUGACGAAGGAAGUGACGGUAGCCAAGGAGGAAGCCCCGGCUAACUACGUGCCAGCCGCCGCGGUAAGAC